UACAGAGGUCUCGAGCGUUGUUCGGAUUCAUUGGGCGUAAAGGGUGCGUAGGUGGCGCUGUAAGUCGGGUGUGAAAUCCUGAGGCUUAACCUCGGAACUGCAUUCGAUACUGGGCGCUUGAGGACUGGAGAGGAGACUGGAAUUCAUGGUGUAGCAGUGAAAUGCGUAGAGAUCAUGAGGAAGACCAGUGGCGAAGGCGGGUCUCUGGACAGUUCCUGACACUGAGGCACGAAGGCCAGGGGAGCAAACGGG
rnacentral:rRNA from 1 species